rnacentral:rRNA from 1 species
CAAUAGCGUAUAUUAAAGUUGUUGCGGUUAAAAAGCUCGUAGUUGGAUUUCUGUCGAAGACUGCCGGUCCGCUCUAUGAGCGUGUAUCUGGUUAGGCUUUGGCAUCCUCUUGAAGAACGUUGCUGUGCUUAAUUGCAUGGUGCGGAAUUCAAGACUUUUACUUUGAGGAAAUUAGAGUGUUCACGGCAGGCAAGCGCCUUGAAUAUAUUAGCAUGGAAUAAUAAUAUAGGACUUUGGUUCUAUUUUGUUGGUUUCUAGAACUAAAGUAAUGAUUAAUAGGGAUAAUUGGGGGCAUUUGUACUAUCGAGUCAGAGGUGGAAUUCUUGGAUUUCGAUAUGACAAACUACUGCGAAAGCAUUUGCCAAGGAUGUUUUCAUUGAUCAAGAACGAAAGUAUGGGGAUCGAAGACGAUCAGAUACCA